rnacentral:lncRNA from 1 species
GGAGAGCAGAUUUUUUAAGUGUUCACUUCCCCUAGUGGACAAUCUUCUUGAGCUGCCUGAUGACCUUGUGUUGGCCCUGCCUUCAAUGAAUUGACCAAAUGGUCUGUCAUUAUUGGAGAAAUCGCUCAAGAUUUCCUAACCUUGACUCUAUUGGCAUUUUCUGUCAGAUAUUUCUUUGAGUGGGGGCUGUCCUUUUUAGCAGCAUCCCUAGCCGCUAUCUACUAAAUGGCAGUAGUACUCCAUAUUGUGAUAACCCAAAAUGUUUCCAGAUAUUAUCCAAUUCUUUCCCCAACCUCUAUGCUGGGAAAUAAGAUAAACUGGAUAGAAAGAUCAUCAAAAUCUUCAUUAUGUCAGCAUCAGUUUAGCUGAAACCUAAAUGUUAUACGGAAAAUCCACCUUCAGAGUUGGAAAAUCCAUCUCUUCCUGGUGAGAGAGGAGUGUGACUCAUUUACAUGGCUGGUUCUAUAAGCAGUGAGUAAUCAGACCCCAAGUUACCACAAUUUAAACAUGCCUAUGCAGACAACAAUCAAGACUAAAGAGAGGGCUCAAAGUGAAUAGAUUCCCACGCAUUCUUAGAAGAAAUUUCUCAGAACUUCACUAAAGAAAGCUUUCAGCUGUGGACAGAGCUCGAAGAAUAUUUUGAGGAAGGAACAAAUAUUUUUUAUUCACUGUUAUUUUUUUUCAAAUUAGCUUAGCCACUAUAUGGAAAAAAGACCAAACUUACCAAGGUACCUGAAAAAUCCUUUUGGUGAUUGCAGAAGUGAUUUGCUUUUGCCAAAGAGGUCACUCCUAUUGUUGACUGCAGGCUGAAACUACAACGGCUCCAACUACAGCAGCUGAUUUUGCACCUCAGAGCUGGAGUCAUGAACCU